AGCUAUUACAGCUCUUUCAGAAUUUUUCUAGUAGGUUUUUCUGACUUUGGCCAGAAAAUCCAAG
ensembl:snRNA LOC120094876 U7 small nuclear RNA